rnacentral:tRNA from 1 species
GGGUGUGUAACUUAAUUGGUAGAGAAACUGACUCUUAAUCAGUAUGAUGAGGGUUCGAGUCCCUCUGCACCCACCA